rnacentral:rRNA from 1 species
GACGAACGCUGGCGGCGUGCCUAAUACAUGCAAGUCGAACGAGAGCGACCGGUGCUUGCACUGGUCAAUCUAGUGGCGAACGGGUGAGUAACACGUGGGUAACCUGCCCAUCAGAGGGGGAUAACAUUCGGAAACGGAUGCUAAAACCGCAUAGGUCUUCGAACCGCAUGGUUUGAAGAGGAAAAGAGGCGCAAGCUUCUGCUGAUGGAUGGACCCGCGGUGCAUUAGCUAGUUGGUGAGGUAACGGCUCACCAAGGCCGUGAUGCAUAGCCGACCUGAGAGGGUGAUCGGCCACAUUGGGACUGAGACACGGCCCAAACUCCUACGGGAGGCAGCAGUAGGGAAUCUUCCGCAAAGGACGCAAGUCUGACGGAGCAACGCCGCGUGAGUGAAGAAGGUUUUCGGAUCGUAAAACUCUGUUGUUAGAGAAGAACAAGUGCUAGAGUAACUGUUAGCGCCUUGACGGUAUCUAACCAGAAAGCCACGGCUAACUACGUG